UGGCAUCUGCUAUGGUUUGAAUGUGUC
rnacentral:piRNA from 1 species